UGACGGUAUCCACAGAAGCAGCCCCGGCUAACUCCGUGCCAGCAGCCGCGGUAAUACGUAGGGGGCAAGCGUUGUUCGGAGUUACUGGGCGUAAAGGGAUCGUAGGCGGUUAUGAAAGUCGGGAGUUAAAUACAUCGGCUCAACCGGUGGAGUGCUUUUAAACUAGAUAACUAGAGUACGAGAGGGGAGGGGGGAAUUCCCCGUGUAGCGGUGAAAUGCGUAGAUAUAGGGAGGAACCCCGGUGGGGAAGGCGCCCCCUUGGCUUUUAACUGACGCUGAGGCGCGAAAGCGUGGGGAGCAAACAGGAUUAGAUACCCUGGUAGUCCACCCCCUAAACGAGAUAA
rnacentral:rRNA from 1 species